UUCCUACGGGGGGCUGCAGUGGGGAAUAUUGGACAAUGGGGGCAACCCUGAUCCAGCAAUGCCGCGUGAGUGAUGAAGGCCUUCGGGUUGUAAAGCUCUUUCGCCCACGACGAUGAUGACGGUAGUGGGAGAAGAAGCCCCGGCUAACUUCGUGCCAGCAGCCGCGGUAAUACGAAGGGGGCUAGCGUUGUUCGGAAUGACUGGGCGUAAAGGGCGCGUAGGCGGCGCAUCAAGUCGGGCGUGAAAGCCCCGGGCUCAACCUGGGAACUGCGUCCGGGACUGAUGUGCUGGAGUUCGGGAGAGGAGAGUGGAAUUCCCAGUGUAGAGGUGAAAUUCGUAGAUAUUGGGAAGAACACCAAUGGCGAAGGCAGCUCUCUGGACCGAUACUGACGCUGAGGCGCGAAAGCGUGGGGAGCAAACAGGAUUAGAUACCCCAGUAGUCG
rnacentral:rRNA from 1 species